GUGAAAACUGUGAUUACCUUCUCUAUACUCAGAAGGCAAUAGACAGGCAUCACAGGAUGAGCCUCCAUUAUUUCACAGGGGAAAACAUCCCAUUACAGGGUAGGGAGAGCCUGUUCCAAUAGAGUGGUGUCCAACAUUAACUUCCUGACCCACCCUGAGGAGAAAAACCUGGUUUUCACAAGACAAGACCAAAACCACCUCUGCUGGGAUAUCAAGACAACCAUGUCCUGCCAACUAGAUAUUGCCAUCAUCUCCACCAUCUCCUGCAGUUAAACGGCUGGCUCUGUCAGAGGCUACUUUCUUGACCACCCAGGACAAAUGGACGGAGGCCUCAAUGUAAGCAGUCUGCCUCCUGCACCCCCGCACCAGCUCAGAUGCUGACAGCUCAGUCACAAUCUGGUGGGCACCUCACUGCAACAGCUCUGCAGCUGGCUCAGGAAGAAAUGCCCCAGGCCGAGGGCAUUGUCAGAGACCAGGCUUCUAAUCAGCCCCAGGCAGGAGAGGCUUCUGUGAAGUCAGCAAACUGGGACUUUGUCCACAUGUGCAGGGAGGAGCAGAAGCAGCAGACAGGAAUGAGGGACUCAAU